GACGAACGCUGGCGGCGUGCUUAACACAUGCAAGUCGAACGGGCCUUGUCCCCUUUUUUUGGGGGUGGGGUUAGUGGCGAACGGGAGAGUAACACGUGAGUAACCUGCCCCUCACUUCUGGAUAACCGCUUGAAAGGGUGGCUAAUACGGGGUGUUCUGGCCUGCUCGCAUGGGUGGGUUUGGAAAGAUUCCACCGGUUUUCCUUGUUUUGGCGGGAGAUGGGCUCGCGGCCUAUCACCUUGUUGGUGGGGUGAUGGCCUGCCAAGGCUUUGACGGGUAGCCGGACUGAGAGGGUGGGCCGUCACACUGGGACUGAGACACGGCCCAGACUCCUACGGUAGGCAGCAGUGGGGAAUAUUGCACAAUGGGCGCAAGCCUGAUGCACCGACGCCGCGUGAUGGAUGGAGGCCUUCAGGUUGUGAACCUCUUUCGCCCGUGAAGAAGGUCCUGCUCUUUGUGGUGGGGUUGACAGUAGCUGGGUUAAUGAAGCGACGGCUAACUACGUGCCAUCAGCCGCAGUAAUACGGAGGGCACGAACGUCGUCCCGAAUUUUUGGGCGAAAAGGGCUUGUAGCGGCUGGUCGCGUCUGCCGUGAAAUCCUCUGGCUCAUUUGGGGGCGUGCGGUGGGUACGGGCUGGCUUGAGUGCGGUAGGGGAGACUGGAACUCCUGGUGUAGCGGUGGAAUGCGCAGAUAUCAGGAGGAACACCGGUGGCGAAGGCGGGUCUCUGGGCCGUUACUGACGCUGAGGAGCGAAAGCGUGGGGAGCGAACAGGAUUAGAUACCCUGGUAGUCCACGCUGUAAACGUUGGGCACUAGGUGUGGGGGGCCUUUUCCGGGUUUUCCGCGCCGUAGCUAACGCAUUAAGUGCCCCGCCUGGGGAGUACGGCCGCAAGGCUAAAACUCAAAGGAAUUGACGGGGGCCCGCACAAGCGGCGGAGCAUGCGGAUUAAUUCGAUGCAACGCGAAGAACCUUACCAAGGCUUGACAUGGGCUGGAUUGCUUCGGAGACGGGGUUUCCCUUUUUUGGGCUGGUUCACAGGUGGUGCAUGGUUGUCGUCAGCUCGUGUCGUGAGAUGUUGGGUUAAGUCCCGCAACGAGCGCAACCCUUGUCUCGUGUUGCCAGCACGUUGUGGUGGGGACUCGCGGGAGACUGCCGGGGUUAACUCGGAGGAAGGUGGGGAUGACGUCAAAUCAUCAUGCCCCUUAUGUCUUGGGCUUCACGCAUGCUACAAUGGCCGGUACAGUGGGUUGCGAUGCUGUGAGGCGGAGCGAAUCCCUGAAAGCCGGUCUCAGUUCGGAUCGGUGUCUGCAACUCGACACCGUGAAGUUGGAGUCGCUAGUAAUCGCAGAUCAGCAGCGUUGCGGUGAAUACGUUCUUGGGCCU
rnacentral:rRNA from 1 species